CGCGCGCGGCCAUGUCGGCAUCGCUGCUGCGCCGCGGCCUGGAGCUGCUGGAGCCGCCGGGCCGGGCGAAGGCGCCGCCGGGACUCCAGCGAGGCCGGGCCGGCCCCAGGGCGGCGGGCGCGGCGAGGCGGAGGAAGAGGGCCCCGGAGCCCAGCAGGAACAAGGCCACGGUCAAGGGCAGAGUCGUGAAGUCGGCGAUAGAGGAGUACCAUAAGAAGAAGCCUGUGAAUCACUUGAGAGAAAACCUGCAGUACAUGUUAAAGGGACGACUUGUUGCAGACAAAGCUGUCACGGAACAAGUUCUUGCUCAGAACAGAGGCAGGAAGUCCAAAGAUCAGCCUCCAGAGAAGACAGAAAAGAAGAAGCCUGAAGGCACUGUGUUUACUGAGGAAGAUUUCCGUAAAUUUGAGAGGGAAUACUUUGGGAUCCCAUAAACAUCGUGACAGGGAUUCUUGCAGUCUUUCUGCAGCUUCUCCAGUCUGGCUCUCAGGCCUGGGCAUUUCCUUGGCAUGUUUGAGAUGGCACAGACUUGCAGAGCAGCUCUGUCUGGAUGCAGAGCUUGUUGCUGGCCAGCUAAAGCCACAGAGGUGCUCUUGACUCUAAGCCACAUUUCUCUGCCCGAUGGAAGAGACAAGAAGGGGUUAGGGAAGCAGCAGCUGCCGUCGCUGCUUUUCCCAGCUGGCCUCCAACCUGUUUCCCAGGCUGGAAGCUGAGGGCUGCAGGCCACAGCAACCUUUGGAUCUGCCGGACAGCAUUUCUGUCCCGCGCAUCUGCGAGCAGCGGCGCAGGGACGUGUCCCACUGCUGCCGGGCCAACGCCGCGUGCUCGCUGAGCUCAUCAGGCUGCUGGCUCCCUUCCCAGCUCUGCGACACCAGCUGAGCAUCCUGCAGCAGCAAAUAGAGGCAGCUGAGCUAGCGAAUGCUGAGGGUGCCAUCUUACAGGGCAUCUCCACCCACACGCAGUAGGGAGUCAGAAUGGGCAGCAGUAGCAGCAGCUUUAACAUGAAUGCAAAUAAAAGCU